UCCAUUGUCAGUGGGCAUAUUGGCCUUAAAAGUCACCCAGAUCUGGUGGGAGAGCCAAGCUCAUUGCUUAUUGGCUGAACAGUCUUGAAGAAGUGACCUGGCAUUCUUGGUCCCAGUUUCCUCUCCAGGAAAAAUGACUUUUUGUGACAGAGUAUCACACAUGAAGCAUCUAGCAAAGCCUCAAGCACAGGGUAAACAUUAAACAGUAUUGCACAUGGAAAGAAGCCGAAGUGUUUGAUAAUUCAUCAGCAGUGGCAAACCUGAGUGUUUCUGCACAAUGCAAAUUGCUUUGGCUUCCACACGGCUCCUGUCUCUUCAAGUGCGAUGAGUAGGGGAGGGAGGUGGCCACUGAAGAGCCUGAGUCAAAUCAAUCUCCUCACCUGAGGACUUCCUCAGACCAGCGCACUGAGGGAUCACUGACGGCAACAACAAUAGUGCUAAUGCUCCCUUAUGGACAGGACUGCAGUUCUCUGCUCAGCUAUGAUCAUGUGACUUGCCUUGGCUAAUGCUGAAUGGAAGCAAGUGGCCCCUUCCCCUGCCACAGAGAUUGUAGACAGGUGUGCCAUGUUGGAGCAAGGAGACAUGGAGUCCAGGGGAAAGGAGACAUGGAACAGAGCUCCCGGCCCAGUCAAGAUGUAACAUGAGUGAGAAAUAAAUUAACGCUUUGUUGUUAGAAGCUUUUUUUUUCAACCGAAGUAUUACUCAACUUCCCCUGACCAAUGCAGAAAGUCACCUAUCAAUGUUAAGUAUCGUUAUAGUUAAUUUAGAAGAAUCAUUUAGAUUCUUCUACAGAUCAGAGUAAUGGUUUCGACACUGCACAGCAAUUAUGUGAUUGAAUAAUAAUGAAGGCCCAGGUUUUAAAGUGGACACCAAGGGGAAUAUAGCAUAAAUAGAAAUUUUCUACGCUUGCUAUGCAAGUACAAAGAAUAGGCCCCACUACUUCCUGGCUGUGCCUCAAUUUUCUGAUCAGUUAAAUGAGACUAGUAAAAGAGCAGCUAGAACAAGGUAUGGAGAAGGGAUUACAUGAGAUAAUACAUGUAAAUUGCUCAUAAGAUUAUCUAGAACAAACUAAAUAUUUUAAAAAGUUAGUUACUAUUACUAUUAAUUAACAAUUGUUAUUAUAAUCCUAAUGUCACCUGUUUCUCAUCAGUCUGUAUAUACAAGCAAUUACAUUUACAUAAAUAUGUAAAGUAACAAAGCCAAUCCGGAGAUUCUGAAUUGCCUUCCUGCUUAGUGCUUCUUCAUCCUGGAAUUUAAUUCCCCUCUCUGCCUCCACAUGGCCAAUUCCUCCUACUAUGAAGCAUCCUCCUUACCAAGAAGGCUUUCCUGCUCACUUUCACCCAAGACUGUUAUGUGCUCCCAUAGAACCUGACACCACAUGUUCAUAGGAUGUGUCCUGGGUCAUUUUACCGUUGGUCAAAGUCUGUCUUCCCAACUAGAUUGGAAGCUCCAUGAGGGAAUAUACCUGUGAUGUUCACAAUGGUAGGAGUUCGGUAUUUCUUCAUAAGAAAGAAUAAAUAAAUAGACACAGGGACAGAUGCUAUUGGCAGCCACCUUUAGAAGAAACACCUCUAGCAACAAACAUGUCAAAUGGUGCUCAGUUUCACUAACAUUAAAGAAAGGUACAAAACACUAUGAUAUUAUUUUCACCACACAGAUGGGCCAAAAACCAAAAACCAACAUUGAUGACAUUAAGUGCAGGAAAGAGGAGGGAGAGGAGAGCAAAUUCAUACUGUAUUAAAACAUUGGUACAAUAUUGUGGAGGUAAUUCAGCAGUAUCUAUUAAAAUCUUACAGAAAUAGACCUCGUAAUUCUAUUUCUGGGAUUCUACUCUACAAAAAUAAUAGCAUGACUAUGUAAAGAUAAAUAUGCAAGUGUUUUUAUUAUGGUAUUUUUUUGUAACAACAAAUAAAAUUGAAACAAUUUAAAAUGCCCAUCUUUGGGGAAUUGGUUAAGUAAAAUCUGGUACAUCUAUAUAAUGAAACAUUGCAUCGUAAUAUACAUUUUUAUUAUAUGGUUCACUAGAGUAGAAACUUUGUCUUGUUCACCACUAAGAAAACACCAGGCACAUAGACAGUGAUCACUAAAUAUCUGUUGAAAGCAUUAAUGAA